GCCCCCCGGGGCUGUCGCGCCCUCCAAACUACCGCUUCUCUCCUUUUCUAGACGAGGUCCACCAAGUUUUUCUGUUUCGGUGCUGUUCCCCGUCCAUAAGCGAGCCCUGCUUAGGAAGGCGCUAAUUGCCGUAAGCAGGAAAAGUGAAGCUACAGGAUGUCAUUGCGAACAGGGAAUAUGCCCUAGAUAACAGCUCUUCGCAAGGCUGUCUUGCUUUCUCCUGUAGAGGGGAUGACACACUACUGCCUGAUUUUUGAUGUUUUGCCUGAAAAAGACGAAGUUAACCGGCUGUGAGCACUUUAAAGUAAAAUAAACUGAUACGAGGAGCAGAGUGCCAGAGAUGCCCAGCUGCAAGGCAUUCAACUGCAGAGAUGCGAAGUCCGAGUGUUUAUCCAAGCAGUAAAUAUAAUCUAACAUGAGUUUCCUGGGGGCAGAAGACAAGUUCAAGCAAGGAAAGCAAACAGCAUUCUCUGAAUAGCUGAAUUUCCUUCUGCACUUGGCCUGAAAAAAAACCUACAGACCAAAAACACAUGCAGUAAGAGUCAGAGAGAAUUUCCACAUAUACAAAUCAAGCACUGAAAAGUGUAGGACACUGAAAAUUAUUCCAGUGUACAAUAUCAUCGUCCGGGCUCUGGAAUAUGGCAGAGUACUGGUAGAACUCAGCACAGCGGCCUCAGCACAGCUUGUGCCCAUUUCAUAGCCUGUGGUAUAGAUGUUGAAAAGAAGGCUUGUUUUCCCAGAUAAGUCAUUACAAGUAGACCAAACAAAAGCAGAGUUGCCAUUUACUGAUAAUACUAAAAGGGCCACACUUCAGCAGCCUCCAGCAACUUGUUAGGCAUCAACACACAGAAGGUAAGUAUAAAAUAGGAGACUGGAUAGAUAACCCUUCCAGGUUAUUUUGCAGUGUAAGACGACAAAUAAGCCACCUUAAUUGCAACAUGGUUUAUAGGGCUGCAGAGUGAAGCUCAUUACUUAAAAGCAGGAGGGCAUCAGGUAUCCCUGGUGUGGUAGAAAGCCAUGGCCAAGAGUCACCGCUGCUACAAUAGGACAUGAAAUAAUUGUUGACAGAAUAAACUAAAUAAGGGCAGCAAGUGGCAGAGAGGCAAAAUGAUUGGGAAAUGAAAUUCCAUGAAAAAUUAAUGAAAUAGAAAGAUUGUGCUGAAGAUGAAGGGAGGAAACCGGCUUGGUGGUUCAUCAUCCUGCAAUGCCAAAGUAAUAAAUGAGCAUGUUUCAUCUCGGCAAGGUUCAGGGACACAACUCCUUCCCCACAAAGGACUGUGUUGUGCUUUUCGAUGUGUUCCGCUUAUCUCGUGCCCUGACAGCUUGAGAGGAAAGGAAUGGAUUUGGUGGUAAAAUUAAAUUGAUUAAACCUUUAUCCAUCAUCUAAUUUGGUAGCUUUCUUUUUUCUUUUCUUUUUUACUCUUACCUCCAAUUUCUAGUGAUCCGUGUAAUGACAGCAAUUUGAGAUAGCAUCAAGGACAUUAGCUACGAUGACUGAACUUAAAUUUAGAAUAAAAAUAUGGGAUUCAUGAGUCCAUAUCUAAAUAGCAGAUGAUUAGGUUAUAGCAGAGUUGUAACUUCCUAGCAACAGCAUGUAAUUGUGAGGACAAUAGAAUGGUGUAUUUUACUUUCAAAGAGAACAGCAUGUAAUUGUGAGGACAACAGAAUGGUGUAUUUUACUUUCAAAGAGAACAAAAUACUUCAACUUUAUCUCAAAGUAUUAAUUAUGUAAGUAGAAAAAGCACUGGCAUGAAUAUUGACCACGUCUUACAUGAGCAAUAACAUAUAUUGUAAUUUUUACGUUUCUGAACACAUAUAUUGUCAGAUGUUUUGCUUUCUUCAGUGGCAGUACACAGACAUAUAAAGCUAGUGGCAAAGAAUCCAAUUGCUUAAAAUUUUGUAGUUUCUCCUUGGUGACUUGUGUAGGAAAAUUCUCCCCUAGGAUGAGAGCUGUGCUUACAAGUUCCAGUUUAAGUGGUAUUAAUGGAGUUUUUAAAAAUACGUAAAGGCAGCCCUUUCUGAAGUGAUACCCUACAAAUGGAAAACGCUGCACUAAAAAAUUAAAGGUCAGAAGAAAUUACCUUGUGAAAUACCAAAGUUACUGAAGGUCUGUGCAAACUGUAUUCUUAGGUUCCUUUAAUGCCUUAUAGGUUAGCAAGUCUCAAAAAGCAAACAUGAGGAUAUCUGUCUGAUCUCUGUUAAUUGUACUACUUUUGAAUUACUGCUAGCCAAUAUUGUGUAGGUUUUGCGAGUAGUAAUGAACCUGAAUUGAUCCCUGUGUUUACAGCUAACUAUCUCUACAACCUUUCAGGCAGUUUACCGUUUUUUCCGUGUAAGUGAUUAGUUAUCCAGACAAAAAAGGUUGAUAUGCAUCAGUAGAUAGAUCAUUCUCAAGGCAUCUGUGAUGAACUUGACAUCUGCUGUGUAAAACAGCUUGUUUUGCCUGCAAAUUAUGUAAGUUCCAAUAGUAAAAUGAAGCGCUUACCUUUCUGCUGUGGCUGACCUUUGUUCCCCGAUGUAUGAAUUUGAAACGAAGCAGCCAACCCGGAGGAGUUUUAACAGCAUAUUGUGAUAUAUAACGUAUUAAAAAGACUGCUUUGUUAACUGGUGGAAGCAGCUUGUCAACCCAUACUAAUAGGCAACCCUCCCUGAGUCAUAAAAUAGCCAAAUUUAAUGCUUUAACAGAAAGCAUUAACUGGAUGGAGUUACUGUCGUUCAAUCAGUUUCGAAUUUCUUGCUUCUUGCAGCAGAUUUGAAAUAUGAGGAUGUAUUUUUGGACCCCGAAUUAAAAAUACACACUCUGGACUAAGGACUGGACAUUGCCAUGGCUGGUUUAAUGAAAAUCUCUGCUAAGCAAAGCGUGAUAACAAGGGAAGCACGGCAGGGCAGAGUGCAUGAAGAGCAGGACAGCUAAUAUUGAAGAUAUUACCGUGACAUUAAUGAAUGAAGGGUGUAUUUUCACUGAGUAUAUUCUGUUUUGUUCUGGCUGUUCUAGCUCCCAGAUGCGUACUAGAAACGGUGAGGAUUCAGAGACAUAUGGCAAAAGGGAUUAGAGAUGUGUAAAAUUUCAGUGGAAGAAAAUUGAUAAGAUUUAUAUUGUUUACUUUGGAGAUAAACAUAAGAAAAGAUGCAGUAAAAUCAUAUUGAAGAAGAAAGAUUAUAAAGAAGGUAAACAGGCUACUCGAAUUUAUUCCUAAUUUUUUUAUUUACUGAGACAGAGGCCUUUAAGGAAGGAAAAUUCAGCAUGUUUAAUAGGAGUGGAAGGACAUUUUCUGUUGGGACUGUAUGUAGCUGACCUGGGGAAUUUUUUCACUUAAGGUACAGAAAAACAAAUUUGUUGGGAGUUUGAGGUAUUUGAUUAGCUCAGCUGAGACUUGUGCUGCUAAGUUUGAUGCUCAAUUCAGUGACUGUAGGCUUUGGCUUUGGGUAGGAUGCAUUAAGAAGGAUUUCAUUUUUUUAAUAUGAGAUAUGAAUCCCCUUUUUCAGGAAAUUAUCUGACUCCUGACUUGCUUGGAUUAGGUGGAAAGGUGAUUUGUAGGCAGUUUAAUCGCUCCUGCUCCCUGUGAGGCUUUUUGCACUCUCCUGUUUCCCCAGCUGAGGCCGUGGCGUGGCAGCGGUUCAGGAGGUGACUUUCUGCUCGGCUUCGCGGCAGUGGCGAUGCGCGUCCCUCUGCUGUGUGCCUCCCAAAACCAGCAACACAGCUGGCAGGGAGGCAAGCACAUUUCACUGGAAUAUUCCUGACAGCUUUUUUAAGUAGCCUUCCUCUCUGUUGCCACUCAGUGCCCUUCAUGGUAUAUGUAAAAAUAGACCAAAAUAGAGACUAAUUCCUAGUCUCUUACAUUGAUUCUGAGUGAGGUUAGGAUGAUUACAAUAAAAAUUAAUUAACUCAUUUCUUAUUCUCUUGAAAAAAAUAAAAGGGUCAAAUAGAAGGAUGUGAAAACAAAUUUUACAAACACAGGAUGAUUUGUUAAACAGAAACCUCGCAGGUACUGGCAUGACUGCCAGUGCAUCGUCAUCAAGUGAAUAUUGUGUCGUAGGGGACUACCCGUGCAAGCUAAUCUGUGUUUUUGAAAGUGUUUCUGUAGGGUUUGGGUUUGGUCUCAAUGCUAAACCAACCACUGUGUUUGAUUCUGGAGCUGCGCCACUUGUGAGUGCUGUUUCUGCACUACGUGUUGGUGGCAUUUCUUGUUCGAGUCUGGAAUGAGGAACAAGCAAUAAGUAGAUCUCAGCAAAAUACUUCGUGCUAAAGUGUGACUUUUUUUUCCCCCAUUUUUUGUUCCUUGCAAGAGAAAUGGUGCUCAGAAUUAUUAACAGAAUCACCUUUCCCUAAAUGCUAAUGAAACAUCAGCGUGAAGACUCAAAGCUGCUGGGAAGUGUGGGAAGAAAUAAGUAGAAUUUGACAGAUAUUUUAUCUCCAUCUUCCUAGGAAUUUACACACAACCGAUUUUAUGCAAUUGCUUGCUUCUUGCCACUUCUCUGAGACUCUGAAAUGGCUAUUUAUUCUUUAAAUAGCAGGAUUUAACAAAUGUAAAAUGAUGGCUUUCAAGCCAACUGUAAUGUGUUACCUUUGUACGAGGCCUAAUUCUGCUGCCCUUACUCAGAAUAAAAUUGAAAUUGAAACUUCUAAGUAUCAGUCAGGGUGGCAGAACCGUGUUUCUAUGUACAUUUAUGUCUGUGCCUUAAUAUAUAGGUACAUAUAUACAUGUUUGUGUGAAAUACAGUUGUCUAGCUCUGUGAAGGGAAUGACUGUAAUAAACCCCAAGUUAUAUUAGCCAAAGGGUCUUAAAGCCUGUAGACUUCAAAUUAUAU